rnacentral:ncRNA from 1 species
GGCCCCCGCAAGGGGGUCUCUAGCUGACGGAAGACAGGAA